rnacentral:lncRNA from 1 species
ACCACAGCUGCUGCCAGCCCUUCUGCAACUCCAUCCGGAGAUGCCCCAGGGAACAGCCGGAACUCUCCCAAAGGCUGAUUUUACACCACUUGGGAAAGAUGUCUUCUAUUCUGAGAUGGGAGUGGAGGAUAAGUUUGGUAUAAAUUCACCAAGUACAUAGACUGUUCGUCACCAGGAAGAAGGUGUGACAUAAUAGCAGGAAAAACAAAUGGUCACCAACUUUAUGGGGAAGGUAAAAGUGCUGUCUUGAACAGAGAGUGUCCAUAUGCCAUUUACAGUGUCAAAAGGAAUACAAGAAUUGGAAAAUUUUGCAUCUAUGCCAGAAGCUAGAUAAGGACAUGAAGAAAUGUCUCUAUUCAUAGAAAGGACACUUUAUGAAAGACACCAAGGGAUAACUUACUGAGAAAGUGAUAUGGCCUUGAAAAAGAAAAAAAUAUAGAGGAAAUUUGAGAGGCAUUUUAAUAAUAUCCUAAAAUAGGACAGUGCGGCACCUUCCUUUUGAAGUUCCUACAGAGCCUCAGGGAAGC